rnacentral:rRNA from 1 species
GACGAACGCUGGCGGCGUGCUUAACACAUGCAAGUCGAACGGUAAGGCCCUUCGGGGUACACGAGUGGCGAACGGGUGAGUAACGCGUGAGUAACCUGCCCUUCACUCUGGGAUAACAGUUGGAAACGGCUGCUAAUACCGGAUAUUCAGCUCCUGUCGCAUGGUGGGGGUUGGAAAGUUUUGGUGGUGGAGGAUGGGCUCGCGUCCUAUCAGCUUGUUGGUGGGGUGAUGGCCUACCAAGGCGUCGACGGGUAGCCGGCCUGAGAGGGCGACCGGCCACUUUGGGACUGAGAUACGGCCCAAACUCCUACGGGAGGCAGCAGUGGGGAAUAUUGCACAAUGGGCGGAAGCCUGAUGCAGCAACGCCGCGUGCGGGAUGACGGCCUUCGGGUUGUAAACCGCUUUCAGCAGGGACGAAGCGCAAGUGACGGUACCUGCAGAAGAAGCACCGGCUAACUACGUG